AUCUAUCUGAAAAGUCCGAAAUAAGACAAAACGCGCGUCAUGGAU
rnacentral:hammerhead_ribozyme from 1 species